rnacentral:rRNA from 1 species
GACGAACGCUGGCGGCGUGCUUAACACAUGCAAGUCGAACGGAAGGGCCCUGCUUUUGUGGGGUGCUCGAGUGGCGAACGGGUGAGUAACACGUGAGUAACCUGCCCUUGACUUUGGGAUAACUUCAGGAAACUGGGGCUAAUACCGGAUAGGAGCUCCUGCUGCAUGGUGGGGGUUGGAAAGUUUCGGCGGUUGGGGAUGGACUCGCGGCUUAUCAGCUUGUUGGUGGGGUAGUGGCUUACCAAGGCUUUGACGGGUAGCCGGCCUGAGAGGGUGACCGGCCACAUUGGGACUGAGAUACGGCCCAGACUCCUACGGGAGGCAGCAGUGGGGAAUAUUGCACAAUGGGCGGAAGCCUGAUGCAGCAACGCCGCGUGCGGGAUGACGGCCUUCGGGUUGUAAACCGCUUUCGCCUGUGACGAAGCGCGAGUGACGGUAAUGGGUAAAGAAGCACCGGCUAACUACGUG